AGAUUAAGCCAUGCAUGUCUAAGUAUAAGCAAUUAUACCGUGAAACUGCGAAUGGCUCAUUAAAUCAGUUAUCGUUUAUUUGAUAGUACCUUACUACUUGGAUAACCGUGGUAAUUCUAGAGCUAAUACAUGCUAAAAACCCCGACUUCGGGAGGGGUGUAUUUAUUAGAUAAAAAACCAAUGCCCUUCGGGGCUCCUUGGUGAUUCAUGAUAACUUCUCAGAUCGCAUGGCUUUACGCCGGCGACGGUUCAUUCAAAUUUCUGCCCUAUCAACUUUCGAUGGUAAGGUAUUGGCUUACCAUGGUUUCAACGGGUAACGGGGAAUUAGGGUUCGAUUCCGGAGAGGGAGCCUGAGAAACGGCUACCACAUCCAAGGAAGGCAGCAGGCGCGCAAAUUACCCAAUUCCGAUACGGAGAGGUAGUGACAAUAAAUACUGAUACAGGGCUCUUUUGGGUCUUGUAAUUGGAAUGAGUACAAUUUAAACCUCUUAACGAGGAACAAUUGGAGGGCAAGUCUGGUGCCAGCAGCCGCGGUAAUUCCAGCUCCAAUAGCGUAUAUUAAAGUUGUUGCAGUUAAAAAGCUCGUAGUUGAACCUUUGGCCUGGCUGGCAGGUCCGCCUCACCGCGUGCACUUGACCGGCCGGGCCUUUUCUUCUGGAGAACCGCAUGCCCUUCACUGGGUGUGUUGGGGACCAGGACUUUUACUUUGAAAAAAUUAGAGUGUUCAAAGCAGGCCUUUGCUCGAAUACGUUAGCAUGGAAUAAUAGAAUAGGACGUGCGGUCCUAUUUUGUUGGUUUCUAGGACCGCCGUAAUGAUUAAUAGGGACAGUCGGGGGCAUCAGUAUUCAAUUGUCAGAGGUGAAAUUCUUGGAUUUAUUGAAGACUAACUACUGCGAAAGCAUUUGCCAAGGAUGUUUUCAUUAAUCAGUGAACGAAAGUUAGGGGAUCGAAGACGAUCAGAUACCGUCGUAGUCUUAACCAUAAACUAUGCCGACUAGGGAUCGGGCGGUGUUUCUAUUGUGACCCGCUCGGCACCUUACGAGAAAUCAAAGUGUUUGGGUUCUGGGGGGAAUAUGGUCGCAAGGCUGAAACUUAAGAAAUUUGACGGAA
rnacentral:rRNA from 1 species